rnacentral:misc_RNA from 1 species
AGACAGGGUUUAACAAUGAGGGCAAUAGGCUGCCUACUGCUGUUGCUGUCUGUGGUGACCGCCUCUAAACACUUCCACCCCGAGCUCUCCAUUGUUAAGGGGACAGCACUGAGGCUAGGACUCGUUGAUGAAAGCGGAAUAAACGGUGUCGUUUACUACGUUCUUUCAAAUGGCCAAGAAAGAAUAUACCAAGUCGAAGAAAAAAACGAUGAUGAUAUUUGGGAAUUUGUCGACGUCGACGCAAAUGCCCACACGGGUGAUUUAGUAGAAUACAAAACGUCUGUCUUGUAUAACAACAACUGGAUCGAAUCCGAGUGGAACAAAGUCAUUCUUGUUCCCAAAGACUUAAUGAUGCCCAGGAAAAGUAAACGAUCCUACAACGUGUUCAGGGACGACUUCAACUCCUUCAACAAGGCCUCCUACACCAUAGAAGUCAGCUCCUGGGGUGGAGGGAAUGGCGAGUUCCAAGUUUAUACCCCAGAAUACAACAAUGUACACGCAGCGAAUGGUUACCUUUACUUGAAACCGACAUUCACUGUAGAUCAUCACGCAUUUGAUAAUGGAAAACUUUACAACGGAAGGAUGGACUGCAACAGUUUAUGGGGAACUUGCACAAAUGGAGUAAACUGGGGAUGUGACAGAACAUCAUUUGGACAAGAAAUUCUUCCACCCAUAAUGUCAGGAAAAGUGACGUCACAUGCCGCCAUCAAAUAUGGACGUGUCAAUGUGCGAGCAAGAAUUCCAAAAGGAGACUGGAUUUGGCCAGCUAUUUGGCUGCUUCCAAGGGAUAAUCAUUAUGGUGGAUGGCCAAAGUCAGGAGAAAUCGAUAUGAUGGAAUCCAAAGGAAAUAUAAGGGCAAUGGAUGGUGGGUCUAACCACGGCGUGAGUUACGUUGCCUCUACAUUGCACUGGGGACCGGAUUAUUCACAUAACGCUUACUACCUCACGCACAGCGGGAAGCACUCGAAUGGCGGAGACUGGCACGGAUGGCAUACUUACUAAUUGGAGUGGACAGAUAGGCACAUUAUAACGUACGUUGACAACCAAGAAAUCCUUCACGUCACAACUCCUGCACAAGGUUUCUGGAACUGGGCUCACUUUUCAGGUCACAACAUUUGGGGAAAUUCCCACAAUGCUCCUUUUGACCAAUACUUCCAUCUCCUCCUUAACGUAGCGGUAGGCGGGGGUUAUUUUGGCGACAACUCCCAGUACAAUACCCCUAAACCCUGGCACGGUGGUUCCUCCCACCCGAUGAGGGACUUCUGGGAAAAAAGAGGCGACUGGCUACCCACGUGGCACGGAGAUGACGUUGCCAUGUUAAUUGACUAUGUUGAAAUGAUUCAGUAUUGAUAUUGAUGACAAAACUUUUCAAGUUUCAAACUUUAAAAUCAGUAAGAUAAAUAUCUGAGAUAUAUAUAUACAAUAUCCAAAUUAGUUUCUAUAAAUAACAGUGGUCAGCGUUUUUCGAAUAUAGGAUGUAUACUUUGUUCUUAGUUGUACUUGCUAGUUGUCUUAUGAAUAAAUGGAUACAUUUUCCAAUAAACGAUGAAAUAAUUGC